UACGGAGGGGGCGAGCGUUAUUCGGAAUUAUUGGGCGUAAAGGGCGCGUAGGCGGCCGGAUAAGUCAAAGGUGAAAUCCCUCGGCUCAACUGAGGAACUGCCUUUGAAACUGUUUGGCUCGAGUCCGGGAGGGGGUAGUGGAAUUCCACGUGUAGCGGUGAAAUGCGUAGAGAUGUGGAGGAACACCAGUGGCGAAGGCGACUCUUUGGUCUGUAACUGACGCUGAGGCGCGAAAGCGUGGGGAGCAAACAGG
rnacentral:rRNA from 1 species